rnacentral:lncRNA from 1 species
UCCCACCAGGUGCAACCAUGUAUGUGGCCCUCCAUGAUAGCUUUCCCUUGCUUGGAUAGGUCAGUAACAAUGAGAUCUAUUUGCCUUUUACCUGAGUCUUUGUUUUGUGUCUGCCACUAUAAAGUAAUAAUCAUGCCUAAUAUCAUAUAAUUAUGAAGCAAAUGGUAGGUGUUGUAUCCAGAAUAUAUACCCUCAAUGUAUAUUUUUGGAUAAAUAGCUAUUGGGAAUAUUUUAUAGAUCAUUUUUGUAUUGGGUAAGUUUUACAUUUUUUAUUCAGUGCUAUUAUUCUCUGAAGAGCUAGAAAAGCCAUGAAUACAAAUAUUAAAGAACAUAUGUAUUGUAUUCUUUCUUUUGUAGCAACUUUGACCUGCAAAGUUGUUAUAAAACUACUCUGUCAUAAAAAUCUGGCUGUGCAUCAGCCCUACCUAUUAAGAUUUGAAAACACUGGAGGCCAAGACUGUGCCUGAGUACUACUGUAUAAGUAACUCUAAAUGUCAUAUUAGGGCAAGUGCAUCUCUCAAGAUAUCCAUAGAUGAUUCUGAUAUACAGAUAGGGUUAAGAACCACUAACCUACAGGAUAAACUUCAAAUGCCAUUGCAUUGCAAGCAUGAUCUUCACAGUCUGGAUUAAUCUAUCUUUCUGAUAUACUUUCCUGCAUCUGCUAUUAUACCCUUUGUAGCAGUUUUAUAGGACUUACUAUUCUCCAGACACCAAAUAUUUUUUCUCCUCCUGGUUGUUCCAUAUGUUUUUGCUUGUUUGUUGUUGUAUUUGAUUUUUUUGUUUGUUUGUUUUAGCAGAGACUGACUUACAUCCCUUUUGGGAUGUAAGACCCAGUGGUCUUCCUCUGCUUCUCUUUAGAAAGUCCACCCAAGAGAUCUAUAUAUGGAUCUGUGUAUUUUUUUUUAUGCAGCAUGUUUCAUGUUUCCCUCAUUUUCUCUAUUUAAUACUUUAGAAGAAGUCUUAUUUAUUUGAGACUCUAUAAUUAAAAAAAACAUAUCUUCAAUAUUUAACUUACAUCUCAAAUUUAUCCACUUUAGUACUCAUGGCAUGAUUUUAUUGAUUAAAUGUAGGAAGCAUAUAUUAUGUUCUUAUUAAGAAUUCAGUGUGGUGUAGAAUCCUGAAGAGAUAUUUCCAUGUAAGAAAGGGUAGUAAGUCUUAGGCUUCUGGCUAAGAUGGAGUAUCAUGCCUUUAGGGAGACUUUUGUUAUUUUAGCUUAUCACCUUGAGUUUCUGGUUGUGGCACAUAGAAGGAGAACUCAGUCAAAGCCUAGUGAUAGGGUGACAUAUGUGGCCUGAUUUGCCCUAGGUUCUCAGUUCUAAGUGAAUUAGUAUGCUUGGUUCUUACAGUUGAGGAAGCAGACUUGACAGUUUGAGGAGACCAAAAUGAUGCAAGUUCACAAAACUGAUAGUACAGAGGAGAAAGUUGCAUGGAAAGAAAACUUCAGAGACUAAUAAAGGGUCCUUUUGAAUACUCAACUGAAUACUGAUCAGUGCAUUCAUAUGAGAAAACUUCAUGAGGCUAGAGAAAGAACCAUCCAGAUGGGAUGAGAAAGAACAGUGACCAGUGAAUGCAGGGCAAGGAAUAACAUCUGCUUUCAUCAGGCAGAUGCAAAAAAAUCAUGAUUCAUAGAAGGCUAAAUAGAAUGUAUUUAAGGGUUUUACUUCAUUAGUGGAGGAUACAGAGGCCUAGACUGCACCCUACCCUGAUCCUACAUACCACAUUUUAAAAGCCAGACCUAAAAAAUAUCAACUUGUCUCUGAGUGAUCUCUACGCCCAACAUGAUCUCGGGCUUAAAACCCUGAGAUCAAGAAUCAUAUGCUAUACUGAUUGAGCCAGCCAGGCACCUCCCACCCAGGAUCAAAUUGUUUCUAAGAAAUUGAAAUGCAUUCUAGAAUAAAAGCCAAGAAUACUCAUUAUAAAUAUAUCCACCAUCAAACAAGGUAGAAUUUAUAUUAUUUAGCUUUCAAUUUAAAAAAUCACCAUGCAUGAAAAAUAUCAGGAUUACACAAUCCAUACUGAUGAGAAAAUUCAAUGAUUUGAAGCAAAAUCAGAACUGACACGGAUGUAAAAAUUAGCAGACAUGAACAUAUUCUGAAAGUUAUGGCAUACAGAAACGAUAAGAAAACACCUAAAUCAAGUUUCUAGAGGUCAAAGCUACAGUAUUUUUAGAUGAAAACUAAAUUAGAUAGGAUUCCAAAUAAAUUUGUCAUUGCAGAAGAAAAGAAAAUUUGAAAAUACAGCAAUAAAAACUAUAGAAGGUCAAAAAAGGAAGAAGAAAAGAAGGAGGGAAGGAAGGAAGGAAGGAAAAGAGGAGGCAGGAUGAAACAGCACUAAUGAACUUAGAGAUAUCUUCAUUGGCCUAACAGAGGUUGUCAAAAAUUUUUGAAGAGGUGGUUAAAAUUUUUUAAAAUUUGAGGAAAACUGUAAAAUUGCAUACUUAAGAGGCUCAACAAACACCUAAGUACAAGGAACAUGAAGAAAACUAAACCAAAUUACCUCAUUAUAAAAUUGUUUUAAAGCAAUGAUCAAAAAACAAAUCAUAUUUCACUUCUUUAUGGAUCUCAAGAAAUUGCAGAAAUUUAAAACAUGAUGAUGGGAUACAGAGUGAUUAGAUUGUUCCUUUAGAUCAGAAAUGGGGAGGAUCACUGAGGAGGUGACCUCUAAACAGAUAUUUAUAGGAGGGUCCAGGCCUUGAAGACCUGAGGACAUAAUUUUUGAUGUUCUAAAGGCAGAAAUAAACUUUACAUAUUAGAAAAACAGAAAGGUGGCCAACAUGACUGCAAUUUGUGAAUAGAAUAGAAGGUAAGGGGAAGAGUAAGACAGAAUCCAGAUUGUGUAGAGAUUUAUCAGUUUAUAAACAUUUCCGAUACAAGCUUGUAGAAUUUCCUUUUAUUCUAAAUGCAAGGAAAUGUCCUUGAAGGACUUUAACCAAGGGCAUGACAUGAUAAUGACUUAAUUAAAAAGGUUCUUUGGAGGGCAAGAGUGGAAAAAGGGAGUCAAGCUGCUACUGGAAGUCAGGGAACCAAAAGGAAAUCUAUUAAAAUUAUGAAAAAUGGUUUUAGGAAUAGAAAUAGUAAAGAAGACCAUGAAAAAAGAAUCCUGGAGGGGAAAAGGCACACUAUGUACAGAGUAACAAGAAUGAGACAGACAGCAGACUUCUCCUUGUAACAGGUACAUUGGAGGAAAGAGUGGGGCCCAUCUACAAAUUACUGAAAUUUCAGGGAAAAAAAUGUCAAUCUAGAAUUUUUACCUGGCAAAAUUAUCUUUCUAAAACAAAAUAAAAUGGAAACUUUUUUGGACAUAAAGAAAUGUGACAUUUGACAAAACCAUAAAUGAAUUUUUAAUAAAAUAUCACAUCUAACUAUGGGUAAAGGGCAUCUUAAAAACCUAUGGCUAGGGAAGAAAGGAAGAUGGUGGCAGAGUAGUAAGACUCUAGGCUCAACUCAUCCCACAAACACAAUUAGAUAACUAUCAAAUCAUCCUAAACAUCCCAGAAAUAAACCCAAAAACUGAUAGAACAAAGUCCACAACUAAAGAGAGAGAAGAUGCCACAUCAAAGAAUGUAGGCAAUGUGGAGGAAGAAGCUACCUACAGGAAGAAGCUCAGCAUGGACACUGGCUGCCUAUUUGGAUACACCAAGCACCAUUACCCUGUGAUCUGGAGGGAUUGCCCUUGCCUCUGUCAAGCUUGCCUCAGUCCCAGAACAUCAGGCCCCUCCUGCAGAAGACCAGCACAGACCCCUGCGCAGACCAUGUCUCCUGACCAAAGAGUUCUGCAGGGCCUCAAUUCUGGUGGAGUUGAUGUCAAGUCUCAUUUCAUAAGUAGACCAAAGCACACUUAAAACUCACCACAUUCAGGCCACAGACCAUACACUGCCCACAGCAGGCAAGGAGAGCUUCAAUAACCAGGAUGGAUAGAGCAGCUAUAACACAAAAGCAGAACACACACAGCACACACUGGAGACAUUUCCUGAAGUGCCAGGCCCUGGGCACUACAUGACCUCUACUUCAUAAGGCCAUUACUUUCAGGAGCAGAAGACAUUACUAGCCUUUCUAUAUAGCAAAAAGGCAGAGAUUUAGAGAAAAUGGCAAGAUGGGGGAAUUUAUCACAAAUAAGAGAACAAGAUAAGGCAAUGGCCAAGAGGUUUAAGGGAAACAGAUAUAAGUAACAUCUGAUGGAGAAUUUAAAGCAACAAUCAUAAUGAUAGUCAUUGGGCUUGAGAAAAGAAAAGAGGACAUCAGUAAGACCUUUACCACAGAGAUAUUAGAGUUAAAAAA